rnacentral:rRNA from 1 species
AGUCGAGGGGUAACAGGGAGUGCUUGCACUCUGCUGACGACCGGCGCACGGGUGCAUAACGCGUAUGCAACCUACCUUCUACAGGGGGAUAGCCCAGAGAAAUUUGGAAUAAUACCCCAUACGAUCUUUACUUGGCAUCGAGUAGAGAAGAAAACUUUUUGUGGUAGAAGAUGGGCAUGCGUCCUAUUAGUUAGUUGGUGAGGUAACGGCUCACCAAGACUUCGAUAGGUAGGGGCCCUGAGAGGGGGAUCCCCCACACUGGUACUGAGACACGGACCAGACUCCUACGGGAGGCAGCAGUGAGGAAUAUUGGACAAUGGGGGCAACCCUGAUCCAGCCAUGCCGCGUGCAGGAAGACUGCCCUAUGGGUUGUAAACUGCUUUUAUACAGGAAGAAACUGUGCUACGUGUAGUGCACUGACGGUACUGUAAGAAUAAGGAUCGGCUAACUCCGUGCCAGCAGCCGCGGUAAUACGGAGGAUCCAAGCGUUAUCCGGAAUCAUUGGGUUUAAAGGGUCCGUAGGUGGUCUAUUAAGUCAGAGGUGAAUGCCUAUCGCUCAACGAUAGAACUGCCUUUGAUACUGAUGGACUUGAGUUAUUGUGAAGUAGUUAGAAUAUGUAGUGUAGCGGUGAAAUGCAUAGAUAUUACAUAGAAUACCGAUUGCGAAGGCAGAUUACUAACAAUAUACUGACACUGAGGGACGAAAGCGUGGGUAGCGAACAGGAUUAGAUACCCUGGUAGUCCACGCCGUAAACGAUGGUCACUAGCUGUUUGACUAACAUUGGUUAGUUGAGUGGCUAAGCGAAAGUGAUAAGCGACCCACCUGGGGAGUACGCUCGCAAGAG